rnacentral:rRNA from 1 species
UCCAGACUCCUACGGGAGGCAGCAGUGGGGGAUAUUGCACAAUGGAGGAAACUCUGAUGCAGCGACGCCGCGUGAGGGAAGACGGUCUUCGGAUUGUAAACCUCUGUCUUUGGGGAAGAAAAUGACGGUACCCAAAGAGGAAGCUCCGGCUAACUACGUGCCAGCAGCCGCGGUAAUACGUAGGGAGCGAGCGUUAUCCGGAUUCACUGGGUGUAAAGGGAGCGUAGACGGCGACGCAAGUCUGGAGUGAAAGCCCGGGGCCCAACCCCGGGACUGCUCUGGAAACUGCGUCGCUGGAGUACGGGAGGGGCAGGCGGAAUUCCUGGUGUAGCGGUGAAAUGCGUAGAUAUUAGGAGGAACACCAGUGGCGAAGGCGGCCUGCUGGACGAUGACUGACGUUGAGGCUCGAAAGCGUGGGGAGCAAACAGGAUUAGAUACCCCGGUA